rnacentral:rRNA from 1 species
GGGUCAGUAGGUUGGUCGUGCCACCGGUACGUACUGGUCUCACUGAUUCCUCCUCCCUUAAGAACCGUAAUGCCAUUAAUUUGGUGUUGCGGGGAAACAGGACUGUUACUUUGAAAAAAUUAGAGCGUUUAAAGCAAGCUAACGCUUGAAUACAUUAGCAUGGAAUAAUGAAAUAGGGCGAUCGAUCCUAUUUUGUUGGUUUCUAGGAUUGACGUA